AUGGAUGAAGAGCUAGACGACGUAAUCAUCAGGAAGGAAAAAGCCCAGCAGUUCAAAGAGGAAUCUAGAUGGUUGGCUAUCGCAAGGGUCAACACUGAUCGGCCGUUUAGUUCGUCGUCCUUUUUCGAUACCAUGAAGUUUGUCUGGGGCUUAGCACAAACGCCCAAAUUCAGAGAAGCGGGUGAGAAUAGAUUCAUAUUUCAGAUGUUUUGUUUGGGAGAUUGGAAGAAAGUGGUUCAUGGUGGUCCGUGGCUUUUCCGUAACUACGCGGUGGUCAUUAAGGACUACGACGGGGUCACAGACCCAGAAGAAUAUGUGUUGGACGGCCUGUAUGUAUGGGCGCAGAUUCAUAAAGUCUCCGACCUGUACCGCCAACCAGAGGUUGUGGAUGCGUUGGCUCGAAGAAUUGGCAAGGUAAGGGAGGUGCAGCUUCGCCCUUCUCUGUACUUCGAGGGCGAUUAUGUCAGGGUUAGGGUUCGUGUUCUCACUGCUAAACCUUUGACAAGAUUCGUUCCUCUGUCUGUGGAGGGAGAAGGGAGACGUAUGCUAGUGGUGAAAUAUGAAAAAAAAAUCCUUUUUUCUGCAAGGUCUGUGGCCUCAUGGGACAUGGAUUUGAGGAGUGUGGCAAUGGGGUGUGGAACGAAACUGACAAGAAGUGGGGGAGCUGGAUGA
rnacentral:rRNA from 1 species